rnacentral:rRNA from 1 species
AACGAACGCUGGCGGCAUGCCUAACACAUGCAAGUCGAACGAGAUCUUCGGGUCUAGUGGCGCACGGGUGCGUAACGCGUGGGAAUCUGCCCUUUGGUUCGGAAUAACAGUUGGAAACGACUGUUAAUACCGGAUGAUGACGAAAGUCCAAAGAUUUAUCGCCAGAGGAUGAGCCCGCGUAGGAUUAGCUGGUUGGUGUGGUAAAGGCGCACCAAGGCGACGAUCCUUAGCUGGUCUGAGAGGAUGAUCAGCCACACUGGGACUGAGACACGGCCCAGACUCCUACGGGAGGCAGCAGUGGGGAAUAUUGGACAAUGGGCGAAAGCCUGAUCCAGCAAUGCCGCGUGAGUGAUGAAGGCCUUAGGGUUGUAAAGCUCUUUUACCCGGGAUGAUAAUGACAGUACCGGGAGAAUAAGCUCCGGCUAACUCCGUGCCAGCAGCCGCCGUAA